GAAGCUACACCAUGCCAGUGCCCUGGCCAGGAGUCUUCCAAACUCAGUGUAGGUCGCCCAUUCAUUCCCUCUUGACCUGUGUUCCUGCAGUACUGAUUCUGAAGUUCCCAGUACUGUACUAAGUGCUGGGAAUCCUGAGAACAAGGUUCCACCCCUCGUGGGUCAGCAGUCACGCCUGUGGGCAUGCCUUGCCCUGCCCCUUUUCCAGCUGGGUGUGUGAUUGUGAAGACCAGCCAAUCGGAGCCUGGAUCCAGCUGGAUCAGCAUACUGGAUCAGCAAUACCCAAAGGCUGGUGCAAGGGAGACCCAGCCUAUGAAUGAAGCGAUGGAGCUUCACAGGAAUCCAGUGGGAAAUGGAUGCAGAACAGAGGUGCCUGCUGCCAGGCUUGUGCCCAGCCCCCACCCCAGCAGCUGCCUGUGAAUGGAGCCAGUAUUGGGAGGAGUCCUGAAGACAUUGUGUGAGUCCCUGGAUCCAACGGUGCCCGAAGCUCUCAGGAUCCUCUUGGACCUUGAGCUGAGCCAUAUGCAUUCCGUUUCUGCAUGACAGCUGAGUUUCCGGCAGGUUGUAUUUCACAAAGUCCACAACCUUGAAAGCAGUUUUGCUUGUUUGUUUUUUGCUUUUCAGAUGGAGGAAGUUCAGAGAGGUUAAACGUCUUGAGCAAAGCGGUACAGUUGCUGUGUGGAGUGUAACCAGACCAAAGACAAGGUUGUAAGACAGGUGACAAACUUCAGCCAGGAGAAGAAGGGAUCCUGCACAGGGAAGACAGGGGUUCCUGAGAGGAUCCCACAAGAUAAUUACCAUGGAACCUGCUCCACGCUGAGGCGACCAGGAGGAAGGAAGUGUGGGUGGCAAACUGGCAGCUGCUGCUGCUUUCUCGACUUCAGUUUCUUCCAGAAGAUUCCAUAGGAAAGCAUGGACAGUGUCUCCCCUACAGUCACAAGGGCUGGUCACACUGUGCAGGUGGCUCCACGUGGUGGCAGUGUGUUGGAGGGAACCCUGCUCAGAUGGGCCAGCAUGGCUCCCCAGCUCGGAAGUCAACCUUCUGUGUCCCCCGUGUGGGGCAUCUGAGCUGAGGACCUGUAUGGAAGACUGAGGACUAGCCCCAGAUGAUGACUCGGGAACGGUCCAGCCUGCCUGCUGGUCUUGCUUUGGACUGCCCCCCCCAACCCUGCAGAGGGGAAGCGGAUGCAAUCAUGUGCUCCCAUCAUGCAGGAGCAGCAGGGGAGCAGAACACAGGCAGUCAGAUCCCUGCAAGAAGGGGCUCGGGUAGAAGUUGGGAGGGCAGGAGCCUGGUGUGAUCGCAGUUAGGGAAGCCUCCCACUGUCCCCUUAGGAAAUGAAGACACAAGUCAAGCUGGGCUGCUGUGGGCCUACGGGCCCCACCUCUUCCACUUAGGCACCGAGACUCAGUUUAUGAGGCAACUGGGCUUGAUUUGCUUUAGUACCCAUUUGCUCUGGCAUUUUGUGACCACAGUGGGGCGGGGUGGGGUGGGAUGGGGGAAUCAGCUUUGUGCAAACUGCCAGCACUAGACCAGCAGGUGACAAGCAUCUUCCUGCCAACCUUCUCCACCACAGAAGCCAAAACAGACUGGUAAAAUCGCUGGAUUCCAGCCCUGGGAUCCACUGCCACUCAUUUACACCAAACCAAUGGCAUCCCGAGAGGACACGGCAUUCCACGGCGGCUGGCACCUAGCAUCCAACCAGCAGAGCUCGUUCCAGUUCUCUCCCAGGUUCCCAGAUGAGAAAUGAAUCACGAAAACCCAGAAGCAGACCUACAGCAAACAGGACCCAUGCCUGGGCUCCUGUUAGGGGCCCAUCCUUUCGCCUUGCUGCCCCCAUUUCAUGGGUGAGAAAGAUAAGGCUCAGAGAUGUUGCUUGGGCAACUGCAGAGAAGUAACAAAACUGGAUCUGAACCCAGAUCCCUGCUUUCCAUAAGGUUGUAUGCUUUCCCAUGCUUGGCACUUCUGAUCUCCAACCCUCAGGUGAGUGUGACAAGGGGACACCAGCAGCCCCUCCCCCAUACCUACUAUGUGUUUUCCGGUCUUAGGCUCUGGACUCCAAGUCCUGUUCUAACCACUGGUAAGGUGGAGGCUCCUUACUAACCCAGGAGGAGGGGCUUGUUGGGAGACACACAGCAAGUGUGAAUGCCAUUGCAGAGAUCCUACUGUUAGGCUUUGUGCAGCAAGUAAACCUGGGUGUGAGUCGGGCUCCCUGUGUGUAGGGCCUAUGUAGCAGGGUCACUUGUAAGCCCAACAGAGACCCUGACUCUAGUUCUCAUCUAGGUAACUGUUCCUAUUUGUGGGACCCAUGGGGAACACAGGCUACUGGAGGGAGGUUCAUCAGAAAGGCAGGUGAAGCAGGCCCUCUGGCUCCAGAGGAAACCAAAGCCAGCACCAGUAAUAUCCCACAGGUACCCAUGCAGAGAGAAUAUACUUCCAUCCUCUGGGGGCUGGCAGCUGAGCUGCUCUGUGGCCAGCAGGGAGGAGCACCGCCUACUUCCUAGGAUGUAGUUCACAUCAGCUCGGCUGCAGUUCUCCCGGAGUUGAGAGAGCUGCCACGGCCAGGGCCUGGGUACAGAACUUCUCAACUGCACUGCGUGGGCCUCUUCCCAUCAAAACUGGUGUGCCAAGAGACCCAGAGGUACACUCAAAGUUUCCCAGUCAUCACUGCCUCCCAGAAAAACCCCUAUUCCACAGUCUGAUGGAUCCCCUGCUCAGGUAGCCUGUUCUAGAAGUAAGACAGUUAUGGGGCUAGACAGGUACACCUGUAGCCCUAGCACUUGGGAGGCUGAGGCAGGAGGAUCCCUAUGAGUUUGAGGCCAAUCCAGGCUACAUGGUGAGGCUGUCUCCCCAUGCCCCAGCUUCUCCAGCUGUACACAGGGACUAACAAUGGCAGCCACGUCAGGUUAUUCUGAGGAUGGAGUGUUAAGGCUCACCAUGAGGCCCUGAACAGCACAGAGCUCAGGCACACUACAGAUAUGAGACCUGACCCUGUGCGAAUCCCUCUGACACUGUACUCACACCCCUCACCCCCUCGGGGCCAGGCUGGCACCUUCAGAAUGAGGCAACAGCAGAACAGCAGGAGCUGUCAGCUAGAACAGAGGGGCUGACAGGUGCCCUGCCACCCACCUGCACCCACAAGACCCUUGGUAUUUCAGAGACAUGCUUUCCCCAUGUGAAAAUUGGAUCCACGGUGGCUGUUCUCUGCUUCCCUGGGAGUCCCCAGUAUUGCCACAGCUCCCUUCUCAUAAGACAGUUCCCAGAGUCCUCUCUGCAAGAGGGCAGAGGGACCUUGGAGUAAUGACUCUUUAGCUGGCCACUUCAACUACGGGGAGGGAGGGAGUGUGACUUGGUGCUGGGGAGGACUGGUCCAGGGCCAGCCACACACUCCUCUGCUUUUAGAACGCAAUCCCAGCUGUCUGCACACUCUGACCACACGCCACUGCCCACAGAGCCAAGGCCGAGCGGGCUGCCCGCCUGGGCAACCUCUGCCAAAAUGAUCACAUUGGGUGGCCUUGUGAGAAAGAAAUGGAUGGACAGCCAGAUGGCAUGAGUACCACUCCCAGCUCUGCCAGUGGCCAACCAUGUGGGUGGCCUUGAGAAUGUCAUUUAGGAAUCUAUAACCUUGGUUUCUCCACCUGGGCAAUGGCAACAACCAGGGUGUCUGUUUUGCAAGGCAAGCUGGUCAGGUGGGGCUUGCAAGUGCUCUGCUGUUUGCAGGGGCUGUGUGGAAAAGACAGAAACCAUUCUUCCAGCGCCAACAUGACCAGAAGAACAAUGUGCCGCAGAGACUGAGGCAAACCCUUGCCUGGGCCAGCAUGGUUCCAAGACACCCAGUUCCCAGGGGACAGUCUGGCCCCAAGCUGCUUUCUUCUCCUGCCCACCCUGCAGGCCAGCAGAGAUCAAAUCCACAUCCACAACAGACGCAUUGAAAAUCCCUAAAUGUGUCCAAGGUGUGGGGUUACAUUAGGUACUAUGCUUCUGGCCAUCUCCUCAGAGAAAAUGACCAGGACAGCCUCUUUCCCUCUCUGCAGGCCCCCGCCCAGAACCUUUAGGGUCAAGCAGGGUAGAAAUCUGAUCACCCAGUGCAUUCCCAGGCAGCAGUGUCCUCCGGGACACCCGUUGCCCGGGGAAUGGAGGUGUCACAAUGACUGAGAGCCAACUCAGGCCACCCACCAGAGACACAGGCUCAGCACCCAGUGAGGUAAUGAUGAGCUAAGGCAGAUGCAGGACUCCAUGACAGGGACACUGACAGUCACCUACCCUGUGCCUGGCCAGCCCUUAACCCUUAAGGCUGCUUGGUGACAUGAGUGCUGUUAUUUCUGGUUCAUAGUGGAUAAGAUUAAGCCACAGAGAGGGUACCACCGCUCUAGAAAUGGUGGCUCUGGGACAGCCAGGUCAGGAUCCCAACGAAGGCAAUCUGAUUCCAGAGGUCACUGACCUUUUGAACUACGACCACCCUGCUCCGCCCCCAGCUCAUCAGAACUGUGCCACUGGAACAAGGGUGGCAAAGGGGGCUGUGAAGCAGAGGAGACGCAGGGAAGAAGCCAGGGAAGCAGACUUUCCUAUCCGGAUGACAAGAAGACAGCAAGGAAGAGCUGGCAUCCAUGCAAGGUGUUUGGUUCUUCACAAACUCUCAAUGGGAAACUCUUAAAUAUCAGAUAAUGCAUUUUUAAAUUACAGCAGGUCCCCAUAAUUCAGCAACAGCAAAUCUAGAGAGGCCCAAGGAAACUCUGCAAUAAAAUGGUAGCUAACUUAAAUGUCCAGCGGUAGGGGAAUAACUAAAUAAAGUGACUUUCAAAUAC